GGUGGUUGCAGGCUCUGCAGCAGGCUGAGCAGCUCCAACGCCAACCUCUACAGCAUUGCUACAGUCAGACAUAAAAUCUUAAUGCACGAUGGUGCCUCGAAUCUUACAUUCUUCUGAAAAAGGUUGUACAGCGAUCUCGUGAGCUUUUAUGUGUCCUUUUAAAGAGAGAAAAAUCACAGAUAAUUUAAGCCUAUACUAUUCAGGUUUAUUUUAUCUGGAAAACAAAUCAAGGCUGCGAAACACUCUCAUGGUCACAUCUAUCUUGCUGAACUAUUUAACGGUCUAUAUCAAAGGCUCACCUAAAGACACCGUUGUAAUGCCGCCUGACAUGUGCCACCUAUUUAGAAACCUUGUAUUCAGUUACACAUUCUACUUUCAUUUAGAGAGGCUUUAAUCUUCCACCAUAUGAUAAAACCCCCUCUUUUCAUAUUACGUAGGAUACAUUUAGAGCUGUUUUUGUUGUUCCUGCAGGUUUUCUGGCAGUUAAACUGUGACUUAAGUGAGUGCUGAUGUGUUAGCUGGGCAUCCCGAAGAACACCUACAAGAAAAAACUUAAAAUUUCAUAGAGCUGCUGUGAUUUGGGGAUUGACUGACCAUGAGAACCUGGCUGAGGAUAUAACUGCACAGAGAGCACAGAGCAAUCAGCAAAUAAACCCUUACUCAGCGUUGUUGCAGUAUUUUGUGACAACAGAAUUUGCACCUGGACAUUUGUAAAUAAAUGGGUGUCUGCCCAGGUUGACCGCUGAAAUGGACAGAAA